AGAGUUUGAUCAUGGCUCAGGAUGAACGCUGGCGGCGUGCCUAAUACAUGCAAGUCGAGCGGUAACACUUCGGGUGACGAGCGGCGGACGGCAGAGUAACGCGUAGGAACGUACCCCAAACUGAGGGAUAAGCACCGGAAACGGUGUCUAAUACCGCAUAUUAUUUUCGAAUCAAAGCCUUCGGGCGGUUUGGGAGCGGCCUGCGUAUGAUUAGCUUGUUGGUGAGGUAAUGGCUCACCAAGGCGACGAUCAUUAGCUGGUCUGAGAGGAUGAUCAGCCUGACUGGAACUGAGAUACGGUCCAGACUCCUACGGGAGGCAGCAGUAGGGAAUUUUCCGCAAUGGGCGAAAGCCUGACGGAGCAACGCCGCGUGCAGGAGGAAGGCCUUCGGGUUGUAAACCGCUUUUAACGGGGACGAUUAUAACGGUACCCGUAGAAUAAGGAUUGGCUAAUUCCGUGCCAGCAGCCGCGGUAAUAC
rnacentral:rRNA from 1 species